rnacentral:piRNA from 1 species
UGCGUGCUGUACAAAAAGAUGGCUGCC